CGAAUUCUAUCAUCCUCUUGGUGCUGUUCAUCCACCAACAGCUACUCUUCUUCUGGAUUGUUUAAACCACCAACACACACCCCAUUCUUUAUUCACCCGAAUCCCUAAUCUUCUCCCAAAGUCUUUCGCACUCACAUCCUCUCCCCAUUCGAACCUCUCUCUCAUCUCUUCUCUGCUGCUUCUGUGCUCUCUUCUCACCCAGUCUCGGGAUAAGCAUAGUUGGGCUUUCAACUGCAGAGAUGACUAGCUGUCUCACUGAGUAUUUCACUAAUCACUCCCCAUAGAAAAUGAAUCAGCUUUUGAUCUUCUAUAUUAUAAAACAUUCAAGCUUUGCAACUGUGUGAAAGAGUGUUCAACAAGUCAAGCACGGUAUAGAAGAGGCUAUCCAAACGCCUUCUGAAGAAGGAAGUAAUGCACCAAAUGAGGUGGAUGUGUGGUGUGAUACAGCUGGAAUUAAAAAGAAGAAUUUAUGAAUUUGGAAUAGAGUCUACUGCAAUUGAUAAAAUACCUAGUUGUCAUGGCUCUAGUUCUCAAUCAUCUAAAUGGUUACAAAGGUCGGAACUUGAAGAAAUAUUUAAGAAAUUCCAAGAGGAGAACAAAGUCUUGAGAACUAGGUUGGAAAAAAUAGAAAAAGGACUUGAACUCAAUAACCAGUUGCUGCAACAUAUGAUAAAAAUAACUGAAUUUUGAAAUUCCAAACCUUCAACUGAAGGGUGAAGAAACAAAUGCAAUACAGGAUGAUGGUGGUGAACAAUCUCCCUAAGAGAUGAUGAUUUUGUAUUUCAUAACUAGUAGUUAGUUAUAUAAACAUUAUUCUUGCUUAUUCAUUACGUAGAUAUUAUGAAUAUUAUUUGGUAUUUAUAUGAAAAAUGGACAUAUCUUUGAUUAAUUCAACAUUCAAAUGGUUGACUUGUUGAGUAUGCUCAUUAAUGUUUUCAAGCCAAAACUUCCCAUUUUUGCAUGAAUUCUCUCUUCGGAGGUCCUUAAUGCGGGUGACUUCCAAUUCCGAAAUGAUGGAACCAUGACUUGUAAGUUUUGAGGUAAGCUUGGUUUUGGUAGCUUAAAAUCACGUUCUGAGGUUACAAACUAUAUUGCUUAUCCCAUAUCAUAGAGAUAUCAAGUUUCCUUUUUAUAGCUUGGAUUAAAGUUAUCUAGUUCUCACAAAAUAAUUAAAAUUUUGAAAUAAAAUUUAUUUGCUAAUUAUUAAAAUUUAGUUUGAGAUACAUAACUAGGGGUGGCAAGUGGGGAAGCCCACUCUGCCCCGCCAGAAGCCCUCCCUUUGGCGGGAUGGGCCGCCCCGACUAAAUGCGAGUGGCGGGCUAAGCCCGUCAAAGCUUCUCUUUUUUUAUUUACUAUUAACUAUUAAAUAAUAUAUAUAA